CUCCAGUUCAGAGUUCAGAAUCAAAAAUUAGAUCUGGCCUUUUCAGCUCAAGGUGAAAACCUCGAAACCCUGUAGAAAUUACUACAAAAUUCUAAGUGAGAUCAUUUGAAUAUCAAACAGCAUCCAGUUUUGCCCAUCAGAUAUCACUAACUCUAGUAGUGGUCAUGAAGAGAAAGAAGAAAAGAAAAAAAUGGUUUGUGUAUUUGAUUUGGAUAAUCAUGGGUACGAGCGGAUUCGGGAAUGUGGUUUUCAAAUUGACGGAUGGCUGAUCUCCAUCUGUGUUCAGUGCAGCUCUUUGUAAGAAACUUCGGACUUAUCUAACAUCCUUUGCAUUCUUCGAUCCAACAUUGCAGUUGACUCUGAUGGUCAAGAAGUGAAAAGGAGAAGAAAAAAAAAAUGGUUUGUGUACUGAUUUGGAUAAUCAUGCGUAUGAGCGGAUUCGUAAAUGUGGUUUUCAAAUAACCACGAUGGUUUCACCAUUUCCUUUAGCAUUUGGUGCUCAAUUGUGUUCGUUUCUCACAAGGGCUUUCUUCUCUUUGGUCAUGAUGCUGAGAUGAUAAAUCUUUGAAGGGAUGGCUGAUCUCCAUCUGUGUUCAAGUGCAGCUCUUUGUGACAACUCCUUCCUGAUGAUUCCAGGCGGAGGAGUUUCCUAUUAGUUGCUGGCUUUGGCAAAGAUGGGAAUUGAGUUUUUGAGAUAAGAUUAUUGGCAUUUUUUUUAAUCAUUGGUUACUGUGUUACUUACUCUUCAAAAAUCAGAAUGGUCCAUGUCUUGCUGUUUGUAAUCUUCUUUACUGAAGAAGAAGUUCAAUCUGGAGGAUACUGAAGCAAUAUCUGCUGAAAGGGAAGAGAAUUGGUCAUGUAAGAGUCCAGAACAUGAUAUACGCAAUCUCUGCUGUUCGGGAGGAUAAAGAAUGGCUGUGAGCUUCACUUCAGCUCUGGUUGUGGGACGUUCCAAGUGAAGUUCAUCCGCCUUUAUAACCUCGACAGGAGGAUGCAACACAUGCUAUUUGCUGGUGAAGACAUCCCUUCAUUACAAGAGUUAACAUAUGACUACAACUAUGUGGUAGACACAGUUCAUGAUUCUACGGGAGAUAUAUAGAUAAAGGAAUGCUGCUGUGGUUCUUUUGAGUGCACUGGAAGGACAUUACGCGAAAUGGUGGCGGAGUCUUCAUGAAGAAUAUUUGGCUGUGAAGCAGAGAUUCUCUUCACCAAUUUCACCCUUUAGUUGUAAGUCUAUGAUAUUAUUUUCUUAUGGUGCAUAUUGCAUAUUAGUUGUUUCUUGAACGCGAAUAUAUGACAUCCUCUCAGCAUAAUAUGAUUCUAGUAUUUAGGUGUAUAAUCUUUCGCCCAGAAUCUGAGUUCAUAUUACUAGUACAACCACUGUUUUGUAUGAAUGAAUAUGAAUCUGCACUCUCCGCAACAGCUUGUUAAUAGAAAGUAACUUUACUGUUAACUUGUUGGUUUUUACAAAGGCGAUUCAUUUCAGCUGUUCA